rnacentral:rRNA from 1 species
CCUGGCGGCAAUAGCGCAGUGGAACCACCUGACCCCAUGCCGAACUCAGAAGUGAAACGCUGUAGCGCCGAUGGUAGUGUGGCAUUCGCCA